rnacentral:rRNA from 1 species
AGCAUGUGGUUUAAUUCGAUGAUACGCGAGGAACCUUACCUGGGCUCGAACGUAAGAUGACUGUAGGUGAAAGCUUACAUCUCUUCGGAGCAUUUUACGAGGUGCUGCAUGGUUGUCGUCAGCUCGUGCCGUGAGGUGUCGGGUUAAGUCCCAUAACGAGCGCAACCCUACCUUUAGUUGCCAUCAGGUAAUGCUGGGGACUCUAAAGGAACUGCCUACGCAAGUAGUGAGGAAGCGGGGAUGACGUCAAAUCAGCACGGCCCUUACGUCCAGGGCUACACACGUGCUACAAUGGCCGAUACAGAGGGCAGCUACCUGGUGACAGGAUGCAAAUCUCCAAAGUCGGUCUCAGUUCGGAUCGGAGUCUGCAACCCGACUCCGUGAAGUUGGAUUCGCUAGUAAUCGCGCAUCAGCCAUGGCGCGGUGAAUACGUUCCCGGGCCUU